CUACGGGAGGCAGCAGUGGGGAAUAUUGGACAAUGGGCGAAAGCCUGAUCCAGCCAUGCCGCGUGAGUGAUGAAGGCCUUAGGGUUGUAAAGCUCUUUUGUCGGGGACGAUAAUGACGGUACCGCAAGAAUAAGCCCCGGCUAACUUCGUGCCAGCAGCCGCGGUAAUACGAAGGGGGCUAGCGUUGCUCGGAAUCACUGGGCGUAAAGGGUGCGUAGGCGGAUCUUUAAGUCAGAGGUGAAAGCCUGGAGCUCAACUCCAGAACUGCCUUUGAUACUGAGGAUCUCGAGUUCGGGAGAGGUGAGUGGAACUGCGAGUGUAGAGGUGAAAUUCGUAGAUAUUCGGAAGAACACCAGUGGCGAAGGCGGCCAACUGGCUCGAUACUGACGCUGAGGUGCGAAAGCGUGGGGAGCAAACAGGAUUAGAAACCCCAGUAGUCC
rnacentral:rRNA from 1 species